rnacentral:rRNA from 1 species
AUGGCGGCCACGGGCGGCGGGAGCGGAGGCGGUGGCGGUGGCCGACACUGGAUCGAGGCGGAGAUGCCCGAUUUCCGGGCCAGGAUGCGCCGUAUCUACCUCCCUACCAAAUUGGCCUCUUAUUUUCAGCCCAAGUAUUCCCCCAAUUCCCUGGAGGCCCAAACACUUAUUGCAAGAUUGGAGGAGGAUGCAUUCAGGGGGACAAACAGUAAGGUAGAGUACGUGAAAAAAAUAUCUGACAAGGUGGUCACCGUGUUGAGAAAUAAAACUGACGAGCUACAACGUCGAGCGCAGUUACAAAGCCAAUUGCAACAGGCUUUACAUGGAGGCAGUUCUUCUGUAAUGCCAGAGGCAGUGAUGGUGGCUAGUCGAAGGCCAACUUCUCAGUCUAUGACACCUCAAACUUCAGGUCAAGUGCCAAACCAGCACAUGCUUCACCCUUGCACGUCAAACAUGCAGAUUGAGGUUGAGAAAAAGCAUCAUGCUCAGGGUCAUUAUCCAAACUUUCAGCCCAUGGGAAUCACUAGAGCAGGGCCGGGUGUCCAGUCCGGUCCAUGGCCGAUGCAGUCAGGAGCCAGUCAGAGUGAGAACCCAUACAUUGCCAAGCAACCGCAGGCUACAAAUUUUGUUGGCUACAGCCUAGCAAGUGGGUCAAAGCCAGUUAUUCGGCCAAAUUCUCAGCACAAUCACCUACUUGGCCAAAAUGAUAGUGCUAUUGGAGUGCGACAGCCGCAGAUUACAAGGUUGAAUGAAAUUUUGAGAGCUAACCAACAAUUGAUGGGCACGCAAAGGUACCAAAUGCUUGGAGCACAACAAGCUGAUGUCCCCAAGAUGCAGCCUGGUCAGAUUAGAAUACGGAAUAAUCAGGAGGAUGCUAGGCAAACAGGUCUCUUACAUCCACCAUUCAAGGCAUCUGAGCCCAUGACUCCACCUGUACAACAGAUUCCAGGUGCUCAGCAAAGUACUUUGUUUUGUCAGAACUCUCAGAUUCCAGUUACGAUGUCUGAUAUUUCAGCUAUGAUGGGGACUGCUAGAGAAUAUGAUCCCAAGGAGGAAAUAUUUUGUAAGAUCAAGUCUUGGAAAGAUGCUUAUUUUCCUCAGUUUUUGGAACUGGAUCGUAGAGUCGUUCUUCCAACACUAACAGAGAAGAGUGAUGUGCACGAGGGUUUGAAGGUGGACCUCCCCAAGUACGAAAAACUCAUACAUCAUUUCCUGGCUCUUCUCGAGAGGAAUAAAACUUGCCAUGCAAACAUGAAUACAGGAUAUCAGUUGCAGAACUGUGAUGAGCAGCGUACAACCGUCAAUCUUACUGGCAAUGCAUUCCCAAUCAGUGGUGGUACAAGUAGAGAGCAAAAGCAACCUGCUGAUCCAAGCAUUUUGCAGCCGAGGCAAACAACUAUGGCUAGAACAACAACACCUCAUCAACAGAGCAAUGGCAACUACUUGCCAGGAAUAGAAAGUCCUUUCUCUUCACCAGGAUCAUUGCAGUCUUGGUCUUCCAGUAUGCUCGAGGCCUUGAGGCCCUCACCACUUGCAAAUCCAGUGGUAGCACCAGCGUCAGCCUGUGCUCCAAUACCCAUGAUCUCAAUGGACGUUGACAGCAUAACUGCCUUCUUGAUGAAUGACAAUGCAACAGCACCACCACCAAAAGCAAAUGGUUCUAACCAAGUCACUCCUACUGAACCGAUAGCAACAGCCUCACCACUUCAGGCAGAUAUAGCAGCUGGUCAUGGAGAGGUUCAGGCGCGAGGUGGAGACGGAACACCGGUGACUAAGAGGCCCAUCGACCGGCUAAUGGAUGCGAUAAGAUCUUCAUUGCCUGGAGCUCUACGCAGCUCUGUUAAUUCAAUUAGGUCUUUACUCAGCAUGAGCGACAUUGAACCACAUGGGAAAAUCGGCACAAUGUUGGAUUGUAGAUCCUCCUUGCAGCAGCAGCAGCAGGGUGGAUCUAAUACUGUGAAUAAAAUGAAGCAAGUUUUCAAUCAUACGGAGUCGCAAUCUGAAUCACAGCCGCUGGGAAGCAUGGAUGGCAGUUGCAUGUCAUUUGAGUGUGGGGCCUUGGACUCUGGAUCAAACAGUGAGGUAAACUUUAAGAGGCAGGAAACACAGAAUGCUAGUAAUGAGGCUCUGUUGGAAGAAAUCAAAUCUAUCAACAACACACUGAUCGACACAGUGGUCAGCAUAUCUGAUAAUUGUGGUAUGGAUGGGAUCUCCCGCUGUGAUGGCGGGACAACAAUCAAACUGUCCUACAGCGCCGUGUCGCUUUCGCCGACCUUUAAAUCUUUCUUUGCCACAUCUGAAAUGUGUCUUGUCUUGCCUGUGAAGCUAUACGUCCCAGCAGAUUAUCCGGGCAGCUCUCCGGUGCUCAGAAAUGACGAAGGAGAUGAGGUGCCAAGCACCAUCUCUGCCUCGGCGGACGUGGCGUUCCGGCACGCCCUCGACGGUCUCCUGGAACCCCGGUCGAUCGAGGCCAUGGUCAGGGUAUGGGACGCCUCCGUGCGGAAGGCCGUGACGCGGUUUGCGGAGCGGCAAGGUGGAGGGACGGCCAGCUCGAUGUUUGGUGGGUGGAAGAGAUGUGCGGCCACAUGA